rnacentral:rRNA from 1 species
GACGAGGGAUCCUAGCGUUGUUCGGAAUCACUGGGCGUAAAGCGUUUGUAGGCGGCUCCGUAAGUCGGGUGUGAAAUCCCACGGCUCAACCGUGGAAGUGCAUUCGAAACUGCAGAGCUUGAAUAUGGUAGAGGAGAGUAGAAUACCUGGUGUAGUGGUGAAAUACGUAGAUAUCAGGUGGAAUACCGGUGGCGAAGGCGACUCU